CGCUUAGCGUGGAGCAAUCCGCGCUAAACUAAACUUAUAUUGAACGCAAUAUAACUAAGCGAUGGUUGACAUAAACUAAAUUUUCAACGAUGGAUGUCUAGGUUCCCAUAACGAUGAAGAACGCAGCGAGAAUGCGAUAUGCAAUGUGAAUUGCAGAACUACGAAUCAUUUGAUCUUUGAACGCAAAUGGCGCUGAUUCAUGUCAGCAUACUUGUUUCAGUGUGCCUAACCAAAUAAAGCAAAAUGUAGGAGAUAAAUCUCUUAUCAAAUACAUGCUCCGAGUAGCAGUCGCAACUUUUGUGAGUUACUCUGAGAAAUUUUGUCUUAUUCGCACCUGAAAUCAAGUAAGAUCACCCGCUGGACUUAAGCAUAUUACUAAGCGGAGGAGAAGAAAUUAACUAAGAUUGCCUUAGUAAGGGCGACUGAACCGGCAAAAGCUCGAAAUUAAAAUCGGGAAUCCAAUGGAUUUUCGAAUUGUAAUCAGGGUUGCCUAAAUACGGGAGGCCUCUCAAGAGUCUCGAAAGGCUCGCCAGAGAGGGUGAAAGCCCCGUGCAGGGGUCUCUCGAACAAGGUAAUUCGACGAAGAGUCGUGUUGCUUGGAACUGCAGCACUAAGUGGGAGAUAUGAUUCUUCCAAAGCUAAAUAUUGAUGGGAGACCGAUAGCGAACAAGUACUGUGAAGGAAAGAUGAAAAGGACUUUGAAAAGAGAGUGAAAAGAUCUGAAAUCGUUGAGAAGGAAGCGGUUAUAACUGAUCUGGGUCAUGAUGGCGCAACGCGGGCAAAACUCGUGGCGCGUCUACCAAAACCCUUAACAAAAUCAAUCUCUUCGCGCCAAAAAAGGUGCAAGCCGUGAAGGGUGUGAAGGGAUUGAGGGGCUACGGCGAUUUUGUUUAUAGGUUUUAACCGUCCCGUCUUGAAACACGGACCAAGGAGUCUACCACAUAUGCGAGUGGUGCGAGUGUCAAACUCAUACGCGUAAUGAAAA
rnacentral:rRNA from 1 species